AUGCCCCGCGCCGGGCGGGCGCUCGCGGAGGGAGGUCCCGCUUCAGGGGCUCGGAGCUCUCGGUGCCUGCGCGCAAAGCCCCUCGCCUGGGACCGGCUGGUCCCGAACUUCGGAGAAUGCACCUCUGGGAAGGGGACCGCGCGUGUUUGGAGGUCCAUCCCCUCGCUGCCACCCUCCAGGGCGGCGAGGGCACCCACCUGAGGAGCGGGAAGCCCAGGAACGCUCGGAAAGGGUGUGGCCUCAGGUAGGACGCGGCGGCGAACCCAGAGCCCGGGAGAAGUUUGCCGAGGGUCGCUGGGGCCUUGGCCAGGAGCCGCUCUGCCCGAGGGGCGCCCCGCUGCCCAACUCUUUUUCUCCAUCUGCUUGGCCCCAGCUCCCGCCCGCCCUUCGCCUCCGGGCCCUGGCCUGGCCACAGCCGCGGGGACCUGCCUGCGGCUCCACGGCUAGGUGGCUGCCGCACAGAGACCCGACCUGGAGAACCAGCUGAGCGCCGGCUGUGUGUAAUCCACUAGUUCACUUUCAAAGCAGAUGCACCCUCCGGAGCCGCGGGCGGACUCUCCCGGACCUGAGCCAGGCCGCCUGUGUCCACCCACACAUCCUGGAGCGCCCACGCGGGAGUCCGAAACCCUGGCACUUUGGAUGGUCUGUCCCAUGUGGACAGGGCCCCAGGACUGUGCUGGGGUAGCCCCUUGUGCAAGCAGGAAAGCGGGAUUUAAGAGAUUACAAUUCCCUUGUCAGACCUUGCACAGUCCUGAGUCUUGAGGACCUUCUAGCCUAAGUCCUAGAGCAAAAGACCCGCGCAGACAGAGAGCUUCCAGGAGCACCCUGCCCCUGGAGAGGCUGGGGACUGUUCCGGAGCCCUCUGCCUGCUUGUCCUCAGUGGUCCCUGCCUAAGAUCAGAAUGGCCAUUCCAAGGGACUCACUCUUGGAUACCCUGUACCAUGUUUCUUUUGGGGUACAGGGUUUUUUCUAUAUUGGGGGAAGGGGCAGGGAUCACCCCAGAGAGAGGCUGCUUGCUGGUUGAGUGCUGAGGAGGUUCUGGCUUGGAAACUCAGUACAUCUGGACUCCAAAUGGCUGCCCUCAAGUGGUGGCUGGGUGACUGCCAGUGUCACAGAGUAGGGACCAAGGACAGUGCAGGGACUUCAAAAAUCACUGUGAGGCACCUCAGACUUCAAUGAUUAACUGAGGUCACUAUGGCCACCUAUUUUUGUUCACGGAUUCUUUAGACAUAUCAGUGCUACUCAUGGCUCAAUCCUUUGCAGUACAGGCUCUAUUGGUUACACACAGUUUAAGGCACCCACCAAAUAGAGCUCAGGCAACCCGUGGGAACCGCCAUCCCCAAACAGGUCUGUACCCUGUGUGGCUGCACCACAAGCCCGAUACCCUCAGCUUUCCUAGGGAAAGCAUGGUGCCAGCUGCAGAUGCUGGUCCUGUGUGCUAUGGGAUAGUGGUAUGGGAGGCGGUCAGCUAACCAUAGGUCCUCACUGCCGUCCCCAACAUCCCCAACACAUACUUAUAUUUAGUCUGUGUUCUCCUUUCCUUACUCCGUCUCCUCCUCCUCCUCUUUGUGUCUUUUCCACACGGAUUCUUUCUCUUUCCUCUGACUGGACAAUACGGUAGAUCUGACUCUCUUUGACAAACUCUGACCUGCUGUGGUCACCCAGGAAGCUGACUGCUAGGCCUCAGGUAAAGGGGCCAUGGGAGGGGGACCAGGUGAUACAAGAAUUGCUCCCCCGACAGGUUAGUUACCCAGGGACAUGGGCGCACUGGCCGAAUGCUGGCUACAGAAGCAGAAUGUGCUGCAUGGAGGCGGGUAGGGGGCGGGAGAGAUUGGUUGCUGAGGAUUUGAAAUGAACCAUGAACCAAAGCUAGAAUGAAACGCAUGAUAUUGUCUAACCUAGAAUCAACACCCUAAAUUAUUUUUACUGAUUCAUGAAUGCACAUGCGAAUUAUUUUCUUUUACUACAAAUGUCUUACAUACCAGAACCACAGCUCCAAGCAGUACUUUUGAAUGGAACUACAAUAAAGUAUGAAUGUUAGAAUUUUACCAGAAA